rnacentral:rRNA from 1 species
GAGUUUGAUCCUGGCUCAGAUUGAACGCUGGCGGCAUGCUUUACACAUGCAAGUCGAACGGGGUGCGGGGGCAACUUCGCAUUCAGUGGCGAACGGGUGAGUAAUGCAUCGGAACGUGUCCCGUAGUGGGGGAUAACGCCGCGAAAGCGGCGCUAAUACCGCAUACGCUCUACGGAGGAAAGCAGGGGAUCGCAAGACCUUGUGCUAAGGGAGCGGCCGAUGUCCGAUUAGCUAGUUGGUGGGGUAAUGGCUUACCAAGGCGACGAUCGGUAGCUGGUCUGAGAGGAUGAUCAGCCACACUGGGACUGAGACACGGCCCAGACUCCUACGGGAGGCAGCAGUGGGGAAUUUUGGACAAUGGGGGCAACCCUGAUCCAGCCAUGCCGCGUGCGGGAAGAAGGCCUUCGGGUUGUAAACCGCUUUUAGCCGGGAUGAAAGCUCUACGGAUAACACCCGUAGGGGUUGACGGUACCGGCGGAAUAA